UAAAUAUCAAUCUGAACAUUUAUAAAUCUCCAUGCAUUAGUUAAUUUUUUAACUUUAUGUAAUCCAUAAAAAUGACAAACUGAAUUAGCCAAUGCAUUUGAGAUCAGUGUUUAUGAACAAAUUAAUUGAUUAAUAAAUUAUUUUUUCAGCUUGAACCAAUUUACAGACAAAUGUUCAAAAACUUCCUCCAGAUGAUAAUUCAUGGUUUCAGGUGAGAAAUAAUAUAUGAAAACACUGCUCUGAAUAAUUAAUUUUCUUUACUUUUGAUGAUUCAGAAUUUUAACCUGUUUUAACUAUGGUUGGUUUUUAGGAAUGGUUCGAUUUUGACAAAUUCCAGCCUUGAAUUUAGUGCCAAUGGCACCAUCCCAACUGACUCCACAGUAAAAGAUGCCCUUGUUAAUGCGACUACCGCCAACUCAAGCUUGAAAAUUACUCCAAAUUCUAUAAAUGUCACCCGGGUUCCUGGUCAGUAUACACUUUAAAGGAUAUUGCAUUUUAAUAACUGAGUGGUACAUGUAGAUACUCUAAUUCCAGUUUAACCUCUCAAUCAACAGAGACAAACUCCUCUUCACCAAACACACCUACAACCCCGAGCACAACUACAACCACGAGCACAACUACAACCCCGAGCACAACUACAACCUCGAGCACAAAUACAACCACGAGCACACCUACAACCACUCCUGCAGUAGCUGCAAUAUUCAACUUGGUCUUUAGCAUCAAUGAAACCUUUGAUGCAGCACUGGCCAAUACCAGCUCUCCACAGUUUGCAGCAAAAGCUACAAGUAUCCGUACUCAGCUUGAACCAAUUUACAGACAAAUGUUCAAAAACUUCCUCCGGAUGAUAAUUUAUGGUUUCAGGAAUGGUUCGAUUGUGACAAAUUCCAGCCUUGAAUUUAGUGCCAAUGGCACCAUCCCAACUGACUCCACAGUAAAAGAUGCCCUUGUUAACGCGACUACCACCAACUCAAGCUUGAAAAUUACUCCAAAUUCUAUAAAUGUCACCCGGGUUCCUGGUCAGUAUACACUUUAAAGGAUAUUGCAUUUUAAUAACUGAGUGGUACAUGUAGAUACUCUAAUUCCAGUUUAACCUCUCAAUCAACAGAGACAAACUCCUCUUCACCAAACACAACUUCACCCCCGAGCACAACUACAACCACAAGCACAAAUACAACCACUAACACAACUUCACCCCCGAGCACAAAUACAACCAUGAGCACAAAUACAACUACGAGCACAACUACAACCCCGAGCACAAAUACAACCACGAGCACAACUACAACCACGAGCACAAUUACAACCACGAGCACACCUACAACCACUCCUGCAGUAGCUGCAAUAUUCAACUUGGUCUUUAGCAUCAAUGAAACCUUUGAUGCAGCACUGGCCAAUACCAGCUCUCCACAGUUUGCAGCAAAAGCUACAAGUAUCCGUACUCAGGUAAGGUUUUAUUGAUAAUGCUGCCAGUUACAGUUUAAUUGAUUCUUCUAAACAAGAGUAUUUUUGCCACCUGAACAGUUCCAUUUCCAUAUAAGACAACUGAGAGAACU